rnacentral:rRNA from 1 species
CACUGACGCUCAUGGACGAAAGCCAGGGGAGCGAAAGGGAUUAGAUACCCCUGUAGUCCUGGCCGUAAACGAUGAACACUAGGUGUCGGGGGAAUCGACCCCCUCGGUGUCGUAGCCAACGCGUUAAGUGUUCCGCCUGGGGAGUACGCACGCAAGUGUGAAACUCAAAGGAAUUGACGGGGGCCCGCACAAGCGGUGGAGUAUGUGGUUUAAUUCGAUGCAACGCGAAGAACCUUACCAGGGUUUGACAUCCUGCGAACCUCUUGGAAACAGGAGGGUGCCUUCGGGAACGCAGUGACAGGUGGUGCAUGGCUGUCGUCAGCUCGUGUCGUGAGAUGUUGGGUUAAGUCCCGCAACGAGCGCAACCCACGUCUUUAGUUGCCAGCAUUUAGUUGGGCACUCUAGAGAGACCGCCGGUGAUAAACCGGAGGAAGGUGUGGAUGACGUCAAGUCAUCAUGCCCCUUACAUCCUGGGCUACACACGUACUACAAUGCUACGGACAGAGGGCAGCAAGUUCGCGAGGACAAGCAAAUCCCAUAAACCGUGGCUCAGUUCAGAUCGUAGGCUGCAACUCGCCUACGUGAAGGAGGAAUCGCUAGUAAUCGCAGGUCAGCAUACUGCGGUGAAUACGUUCCCGGGCCUUGUACACACCGCCCGUCACACCAUGGAAGUUGGCCACGCCCGAAGCCGUUACUCCAACCCUCGGGAGGAGGACGUCGAAGGUGGGGCUGAUGACUGGGGUGAAGUCGUAACAAGGG